AAGCUCUGGCAUCUCCUCAUUUGCGGAUAAAUCUUUCGCCUUUUACUAAAGACUUCCGUGUGGAGGUGCAACACAAUGAGUCUAUAGACGCAUUUUUGGAAUGCCUCGAUUACUUCGAGGCGU
rnacentral:snRNA from 1 species